AUCUUACAGUUAUCUCCAAUUAUUAACAAUCUUUUUGUUCCCUUUAUAAAAAGAAACUUCAGUUUUUUCGGUGGUGGAGGGAUGCAAGAAGAGGAAGAACAAAUUAUAAAGGGUGAUGAUGUCAUUGUUGAAUUGGAUGCUUCACUAGAGGACUUGAACAUGGGUGGUUCCUUAAAGGUUUGGAGAGAGAAAAAUGUGAUAAACUAGCUCCUAGAAAGAGGCGAUGUAACAGUAGGAAUGAAGUUCAUCAACGAGAACUUGCUCCUGGCAUGUUUUAUCAAAUGAAUGAACAGGUUUGUGAUGUAUACCCAAAUGUGAUGAAUGUAAGAGAAGGUGAUUUCGUCAAUGUUGAUAUUGAAAAGGGGAUGCAAGAUGGACAGGUGCAAAGCAACUGCAUUAUUUUUUGUUUCAGUGAUUUAUAUGUAGUGGUUGGCAUACUGCAACAUUCUUGGAACAACAUGGCUGAACACCCUGGUUUCCACUUUACUAAACCGACAACAGGGUUAUGUACAUACAAAAUAGCACCUUUGUACAACCCAGAAACUGAUUUGAGCUGGAGUGCUGGACAUUCAGUGACUGAACUAAAGUAACUGCUUUAGAGUAAAAACAAAAGAGCAGCUAUAGAGGUCUGAUUGCAUGGAAGUCUGAGCUAGAAAUUCCAUAUAACGCCAUAAAACCAUUUCAGGAAUUGCUUAAGCUGAUUCUCUAUGGCGUGUGGAAUUAUGGACGCAAGCACUUUUGGUUGAUUUCUCAUUUAUGGAUGAUUUUAAUAGGUUGUCUUAUCCGGUUUCAGGAAAUUUUAUUUUACGAGGAUGGUGAACAUAAGAUAGAUGGAGAGCCUGGUGUUUUGAAUGUUGUUUUCCACCUAGUUCUUUUGAUGCAAAUUACAGUAGAGGUUGAUCAGUUUGGCAGCAUUUAUCCUUGAUGAAAUUCAGUUUCUGUGCAGUUUAGGAUUCGGAUAGCACGACAUGAGCGCUUCAGAAGAGAAGACAAUCUUACCGCUCGAAGCCCUUGUUGGGUUUGAGAAGAACUUCAAGCAUCUUGACAACCAUCCGGUGGAAAUCAGGACAAAGGGGGUCACGAAACCAAAAGAGGUUAGGAAGUACUAAGGCGAGGGCAUGCCACUGUACCAGAGCAAAAAAAGGGGAUUUGUACAUCACAUUCUUCCCAAAAGCCCUAACUAAUGACCAGAAGGCCAAGCUGAAGAGCAUUUUCACUUAACACUGUCAGUUUUGGCUCCUGGGCUAAGUGCUGAAUGCCUAAGCCUGGCAGUUUGAAGUGAACAAUCCCAGAGGAAAUUUCACCAUCUUUCAGGCGAACAGGCAAACUGUGCCUGGCUGUUUCUUUCUUUUAACUACUGUUCCUCACAGGCAGAU